rnacentral:lncRNA from 1 species
GGUGACGGUCGCCCGGCGGCUCCGGGUCGCCGCUCCGCUUUCGCCCUCGGGGCCGCGCAGGCCGGCCGUCCCCCGGGCACGUGGCCCCGGCUCGUCGGGAAGCGGCGGAGCCCCGCGGUUCCCCGGCGGAAGGCGAGCGCCGUAGGUAGCCAAUACCCUUGGCUGUGUGAAUUUUGGCUGAGAUGGUGAGGAGUGCUGCCACCCAAGUAUGAUUCCACCGCCAACUCCAUCGAUGUUUCACGCUGAGAAUGGUUUUCAGCUGAAUAGAGUCAAUCCAUCUGAUUCCAGCAAUCCAGUGCUGGCACAAAGGAGGGGCCAAGAAUUCAAGGAAAUACAGAGAACUCUCCCUUUUGGUGGCAGCGUAGACGUGGAUUGUGAAAUAAACCAGUUGUGAAACUGCUCCUGAAUUGUGAUGAACAGCAUGCUCUAGAGAGGAUGGGGAAAUAAAAAAUGAACUAGCAAAUUGUAAAUGGGUACU